rnacentral:tRNA from 1 species
GCCUGGGUGGCUGAGUCGGUUAAGCGUCUGACUUCAGCUCAGGUCACGAUCUCGAAGUCUGUGAGUUCAAGCCCCAUGUCGGGCU